GACGAACGCUGGCGGCGUGCUUAACACAUGCAAGUCGAGCGGAGCGGCGCACGGGUGAGUUACGCGUGAGUAACUGCCCCCCUCUCUGGGAUAACAGUUGGAAACGGCUGCUAAUACCGGAAAGUGGGGGUUGACUCGCGUCCUAUCAGCGUGUUGGUGGGGUAGUGGCCUACCAAGGCGACGACGGGUAGCCGGCCUGAGAGGGGGACCGGCCACAAUGGGCUUAGGUACGGCGCAAACGCGUACGGGAGGCAGCAGUGGAGAAUAUUGCCCAAUGGGGGAGACCCUGAGGCACUGCCCCGCGUGGGGGAAGACGGCUUUCGGGUUGUAAACCGCUUUCAGCCAAGACGCGGUAGUGGCAGAAGAAGCACCGGCUAACUACGUGCCAGCCGCCGCGGUAAUAC
rnacentral:rRNA from 1 species